rnacentral:tRNA from 1 species
GGGAAUAUGACUUAGUGGUAUAGUGCAUGCCUAGCAUGCAUGAGGCCCUAGGUUUGAUUCCUUGGUACCA